rnacentral:misc_RNA from 1 species
GACGUAGGUGGCGAGCGUUAUCCGGAUUUACUGGGCGUAAAGCGCGUGCAGGCGGUUUGGUAAGUCGGGCGUGAAAUCUCCUGGCUCAACUGGGAGGGGUCGUUCGAAACUACUAAACUUGAGGGCAGUAGAGGGAGGUGGAAUUCCGGGUGUAGUGGUGAAAUGCGUAGAUAUCCGGAGGAACACCAGUGGCGAAAGCGGCCUCCUGGGCUGCCCCUGACGCUCAGACGCGAAAGCUAGGGGAGCGAACGGG